AGUGAACGCUGGCGGUAGGCCUAACACAUGCAAGUCGAACGGCAGCACAGUAAGAGCUUGCUCUUACGGGUGGCGAGUGGCGGACGGGUGAGGAAUACAUCGGAAUCUACUUUUUCGUGGGGGAUAACGUAGGGAAACUUACGCUAAUAACGCAUACGACCUACGGGUGAAAGCAGGGGAUCUUCGGACCUUGCGCGAUUGAAUGAGCCGAUGUCGGAUUAGCUAGUUGGCGGGGUAAAGGCCCACCAAGGCGACGAUCCGUAGCUGGUCUGAGAGGAUGAUCAGCCACACUGGAACUGAGACACGGUCCAGACUCCUACGGGAGGCAGCAGUGGGGAAUAUUGGACAAUGGGCGCAAGCCUGAUCCAGCCAUACCGCGUGGGUGAAGAAGGCCUUCGGGUUGUAAAGCCCUUUUGUUGGGAAAGAAAAGCAGCAUGUUAAUACCCCGCUGUUCUGACGGUACCCAAAGAAUAAGCACCGGCUAACUUCGUG
rnacentral:rRNA from 1 species